ensembl:rRNA 5S_rRNA 5S ribosomal RNA
GUACAGGGUACGCCACCUUGGAUGUGCCUGAUCUCAUUUGAUCUUGGAGGCUAAGCAGGGGUGGGCCUGGUUAGUGCUUGGAUGGGAGAUCUCCUGGGAAUACCGGGUGCUGUAGACU